rnacentral:rRNA from 1 species
UUCCUUCUUGUUAAGAAGGUAAGGCCUGCUCACUGAAAAUUAAAGAGCCGCAGUAUUUUGACUGUGCUAAGGUAGCAUAAUCAUUAGUCUUUUAAUUGGAGACUGGUAUGAAUGGCUAAACGAAAAAUGAACUUUUUUUGUUACUAAGAUUGAAUUUAACUUUUAAGUGAAAAGGCUUAAAUAGUUCAGAAAGACGAGAAGACCCUAUAGAGUUUAAUAUGUUAAGAAUAUAGAUUUUUUAGAUUUUUUUAAUUUAUGUUUACGGUUCGUAUUUUGUUGGGGCGACAUUAAGAUAAGAGUAACUCUUGAUAUUAAAAACUUCAAUAGAAGUUUAUUUGAUCCUUUAAAAAAGAUUACAAGGAAAAAUUACCUUAGGGAUAACAGCGUAAUCUUUUUUGAGAGUUCUAAUCGACAAAAAGGUUUGCGACCUCGAUGUUGGACUAAAAUUUAGGCAAGGUGCAGCAGUUUUGCUUUAGGGUCUGUUCGACCCUUAAAAUUUUACACGAUCUGAGUUCAGACCG